GUCGCACACAGCGGCUGUGCCCUGGCAAGCUCCCGGGUGUCGCACACAGCGGCUGUGCCCUGGCAAGCUCCCGGGUGUCGCACACAGCGGCUGUGCCGCGGCCCCAGCUGCGGGCACUGCCAGCCCCUCCAGCACUGCUCUGCGCUCACCGGGACACCUGGGGGGAAUCCCAGCCUGGUGUGAGCGGCCCAGAACCACGUAAGGAGGGAGAGAAGAGAGGACUGCACUGAGUUAUGCUUUGGUGCUGUCCCAGAGUGUGUCCGAGCUGGAGCCGUGCCGAGCAGCAGAGCUGGGCAGCGCUCCCCGAGGCCCACUCCAGCCACAGAUGGACUCCAUGUCUGUCACUGGCAUCCGGGAGAAGCCCGUGACAGGAGUGUCAGGCCCCCAUCCUAGGGGAUGCAGAGACCUGUGAGCAAUGUAGUUUCCAUGUCUAGCUUGCCUUCACAAGGACAAAGGUCAGCUGUUUGUCACUGCUGCUUCAUUUCCCUUACACGUUUAUUUACUUAUUUAACAGUCUCUAAACUAUGCCACUAAUGAUAUCAGGUCUACAGGGACGUUACCUUGGCACCAGAGUGCCUAAAAACACAGGCCUAUUCUCAUUUGGUCACUGGCCUAAGUUACAGGAGUUUGUAUGGGUUCAGCAAGAGAAGUUAUCACAUUUUCUGUAAAUAGCCUCCUGAGUUCAGUAAAUUGCAUUGCCCUUCAGGUCUCAAGCAGUGGGUCAAAUCAAUUUUGUUCAGCUUGUAAGUGCUUCAGGACAGCACAUACUCAACGUCCUGUGUUAGUGAGGAAUUAGGCAUUGACUCUGGAAACACCAGAUCUCUUGGCAAUGAGAAAGUAGCAGUCAUCCUCCUCAUUGGCUGUGGGACCUUUGCUGGGAUUGAUAAACAAUUAAAAAGACCCAGACAGACAGAACCAAUAAACACAAAAUUGCUUCUUGAAAACUGACCUGACAGUAAUCCAUCUCCUGUUCAAAUCACUGGGGGUUUUUGAGGGACUAAGCCAAACAAUACAAGCAGCCAUUUGCUUAGUGAAACAUUAAAGCAAGUCAUAAGAUUAGCCUGUUAAUCACAGUCAGAACCCUUCUCAGAUGAAGGGGCAAAGCCAAUCUUGUGCUCUCUGCACAACUGCACCAGACAUGCAUUUCCCUCUGCCUUCCACUGUCUGGACAGGUGGUGAGUGAAGUGAAUGUUCCCUCUAACAGAAAGAUAAAGGUUAAAAUUGUUAGGAUUGUAUUUCACUUACCUGUAAUAACCAGCCUGUUCUAAGCUGUUGUUUUCACAGCCCAAGUUGAGAUCCCAGUUCUGUGACCCCAGUUCCUGUUUCCCUGCUGUGCCCUUCCUGCGCUGCCCCGCUGCUCCCCAAGAAGACUCCACCCUCGCUGCUGAUACUCUGUUCCCAUGGCAACUUUACACCUCCUAGACUGUCAUGCAGCUGCUGGCUCCACCCAGAAUGUAAAGACUUGACAGCUCCCAGAAGACCCUGCUCGAGCCGGAGUCCAGUAGAGGUGAACGAGCCUCCUGGACAGUUGACCAGGGCCGAGUAAGGACUGCAGGGAGCACCACCGAGCCAGGAAGAACGCCCAGCUGCCGAUAGGAGCCACUUCCGUCCUCGCCCUCACUUGGACUACACUCGACCAAGGAGACACCCCUAGACCAGGCAAGCUACAGGAGGCUUCUGCGCACUGUCGCGAGUACCGAAGCCCCGGCUCUGCGGCCCAGGCAGCGGAUCCGAGAGACUCCUCCUUCGCGGCCUUGACUCCGUGGGAGCAGCGGCGGUGUGCGCAGCCCCCGACCCCCUACCCGCUAAAAGAGCUGAUCAAUAAAGGCGCUUUAACGGGAGCAGAAGGUCUCCUUGCCCAUUUCUAACAGUGAGGUAUUGCAAUAAGUUAGCUGUAACUCCAUUAUCUUCAUGCAGGAAAAACCAGUUCUUUAUUAUCACACUCAUUUAAUGCCGUUUUUAGAGAC